rnacentral:tRNA from 1 species
UUCUCAUUAGCUCAAUGGCAGAGCCUAAUACUUCUAAUAUUAAGAUUCUAGUUCGACUCUAGAAUGAGAUAAA